rnacentral:rRNA from 1 species
UACGUAGGAUGCAAGCGUUUGUUCGGAAUUACUGGGCGUAAAGAGUACGUAGGCGCCUUCUAAGUCGAACGUGAAAAUCCCCCGGGCUCAACCCGGGAACUGCGUCCGAUACUGGAAGGCUUGAAUCCGGGAGAGGGAUGUGGAAAUUCCAGGUGUAGCGGUGAAAUGCGUAGAUAUCGGAAGGAACAUCAGUGGCGAAAGCGGCUUCCUGGUCCAGCACCGACGUCAGGCACGAAAGCGUGGGGAGCAAACAGG